rnacentral:rRNA from 1 species
CCCUUAGAUGUUCGGGGCCGCACGCGCGCUACACUGAUGCAUUCAACGAGUAAUCUUUGACCUUGGUCGACAGAUCUGGGUAAUCUUUUGAAAUUGCAUCGUGAUGGGGCUUGCGGGUUGCAAUUACCCGCACCAACGAGGAAUUCCUAGUAAACGCAAGUCAUCAACUUGCAUUGAUUACGUCCCUGCCCUUUGUACACACCGCCCGUCGCUCCUACCGAUUGAGCGGUCCGGUGAAGACUCAGGAGAUGGGCGCGUGCUUGGUUCGCCAACUGCGCUGCCUGCCAAAUUUGUCUAAACCUUAUCGCUUAGAGGAAGGAGAAGUCGUAACA